rnacentral:rRNA from 1 species
UUGGGAAUCUUGCGCAAUGGGCGAAAGCCUGACGCAGCGACACCGCGUGGAGGAUGAAGGUUUUCGGAUCGUAAACUCCUUUUACUAGGGAAUAAUCAUUGAAGGUACCUAGUGAAUAAGCACCGGCUAACUCCGUGCCAGCAGCCGCGGUAAUACGGAGGGUGCUAACGUUAUCCGGAAUCACUGGGCGUAAAGAGCAUGUAGGCGGUUUGGCCAGUGGACGAUUAAAGACCGCCGCUUAACGGCGGGAGUGUUUUCCAUACUACCAGACUAGAGAAUGACAGGGGCAAGUGGAACUUUAGGUGUAGGAGUGAAAUCCGUAGAUAUCUAAAGGAACACCAAUGGCGAAGGCAGCUUGCUGGGUCAUUUCUGACGCUGAGAUGCGAAAGCGUGGGGAGCAAACG